GGAGGAGAGAACUAGAAACACACUUGGUUUACCCUUUUAACUGUGGAUUAAUUAUCGGAGUAGAGGACCUUGUGCAUUUCAGGGCUUCGAUAGCAUCUCAAAGACUAGAGUGAGAGGCAGUGGGGGAGAGGAAGAUAAAGUAAUGUGAGCAGAGCACACUCCCUCGCUGUACAUUCUGUGGGACCACAGGAGAACCUGAUGAAGAUGAUAGAGAGGCCCUCUGAUUAACCAGCCAGUGAGCACCAUGCAUGUCCCUGCCAGGUCAAACAAAUGAAACUAUUGUAAUGCUAUGGCAGACUUUGAUCACAACUGUGUUCACAGAGAUCUCUUAAUCAGAAGUGCUCCGCAAUGAAACUGUCACUGGCUCGCAUCUGAGGAGGGUCAUUGCACUGCAAUGGGUUUCAUAGGACGCACAAGCAGUAAUAACAUUGUAGUACCAUGUUUUGGGGCGUGUAACCUCUUAGACUACAAAUGCUAUCGGUCUUAACUAAGAAUUUACAACAAACACAAGCCAGAAUUGUCAGCUCAAUAACUUUCAUUGUUUAUUUUUUCACAAUUUUCAAAUUGUCAGAGAAAUAAGUUGUUAUAACAUGACCUUCAGAAAUGUAUAAAUUAAUAAUAAGUAGAACUUGUACAUUGGUUUCAACUAAAACUCUUACUGCUGCAACAUGUAUGCCUACAAUAGUUCCAUUUGAAUGAUGGAAGUGAAACUGUCCUGUAAACUGUCUCCAGUAAACCAUUACAAUGAAGAGCUGGAAACCAAUUGACCUCAUCAUUGAAGACAGCAGAAAGUUUUCACAGCCAGCAGUCCCAUCUGUACAGAUCCACAAUGAAUAUGCAUGGAACCAGAUAUGACAUACCCUGGGCCAUUAAUAAUAUUGUCAUCUGAUUUGAGAGCUCACAGUUAUUCUGUACCCCCUCCACACCCACCCCUUGUAUUCUCCCAACUCCCAUCUCUAGAACCACUGCGAAUGCCAGUGCCUGAGUCUCAGUCUACAGAGAGAAGCCAGCCAGGUGCAGAACUAUCCAAAAUGAGAAGAAAACCCAUUGGAAUAUAGGGCCUUUUGCCUUAUUCUUCUCCCUUUUA